CUGGCCCGGCUCUGAAGCCAGGAUACUGGCCUAGAGGGACCUUUGGUCUGACCCAGUAUGGCUGUUCUUAUGUAUGUAAGGGACUGUGUGGGCAAGAGCUGUUCUAUGCUAUAUCCUAGACUUUUCUCCAGCUAUGGACAAGGUUCAUCAGGAGGUAAAAACAAGAGCUCCUUAGCAUUCAGAUUUAUGCCACUUCAAUCACCUGGGACCUUACUAAAUGGGCUGUCUGUCUUUAAUUCAUACAGUGGGUAUGCAGAGGCCUCUUAAAAUCUUAUUUUUUACUUCAGCUGUUUGGGUUGCUGAUCUGACCAUUAACUAGUCUCUUUAGGGGUGGGGUUUUGUUCACCCCAGCAGUCUGUCCCAGUUCAACACUGCUUUGCUUUCUUCUUCCACUUUGUCUGAGAAAACUAGUGUUCUACUUGACACGACUCAGGUUCUUUCUACAGUGGAAGCUGUACUGUGCAAGAUACAGAUGAGUUAAAAGCAUAGGUGUGACUUGGAAGGUUCUAGCACUUUGAAAACCACUUUGGACCUGCUGAUAAAGCCAUGGUAUAGUAGACUACCGUUCGUUAUAGGAGUUGGUCCAUAGCAUCUUUUGUUCACAAUUUAUGGGAUUUUGCUUUUUCCUUACCAGGAGAAAAAUCCACAUCUUGACAAAAUAAACCUGUCAAAGGUUUCUUCCAUGUUUUGUUUCACAUUAUAAACUGCAUUUGUCUUUAGUGGUCGUAUGCUUGUUUGGCAGAAGAAUGUUUUGACCAUUGGUAUCAAGUUUAAAGGUAAGUAAAUCUUAUACUUAUGUGCUACUAUGUCAACAUUAUAUAAUAGGCUUCUUUUGUAAUUAUUAGGAUAGGGGAAGUGUUAUACUGCAGGCACAGAAAACAAGGUAUUCAGAUUGUUUUUGGCAUACUCAAACUUCAUUUCCUGAGGAGUAUUGUAACCAGUACACGGGCUGCUUUUAUGAACACUAAAUUGUGGCACAGACAAGUUUAGCUACAGCAUGUGUGUUUCCUUCUUUGGGCUUAAACCUGCAGGAUGCUGAGCAAUCAGCCACAUGCUUAACCUGAAGUACAUGAACAGUCCCAUUGACUUCAGUGGAAUUAUGCAUGUGAUUAAGUGCUUUGCUGGAUCAGAGCCAGAGCAGUGAAUAUCUUGCCAGUUCAAGUCCUGUGCCCGCAUCACAUCCUUGUUCUUUUACUGAGCAAGAUAGUGCUGAGAGGUGUAUUACUGGUCCAAUGAGAGCCCUGCCCUGUUUUGAAAUAUAUUAGGAUUUUAUGAGACUUAUUGUGAAACGUUGCUUCCAUAGGGAGAGAGUAUGAUCUCAUGUCUCCUAUGCUGGUAACAGUCCCUGUCCUCGUCCACCACACAUGCCCUUUCUCCUCCUUCCCAGCUUCUCUUCAAGUAAUCCCACUUCCCUCUUCUAUUUAUAAUCCCACACCUUUCCUUCUAUGAGCUAUUAACCAGUCUUGUUUUGUUUAGAUUCUAAAUUUAUUUGGGGAUCAGAACAUGCCUUACUCUUUGUAAAGAGGUAUGUAGACUUAGUGCUGUGUAAAUUAUUUUAAACUUAGUCCUGGUCUAUACAGUUUUUUGUACCAGUAUUAACUGUUGGGGGUGUGUGUGUGGUGGUGUUUUUUUUUUUAUUUUUAUUUUUUUUUACUGAUAUAGUUAUGUAUCCACCAUAGAGGUUGUGGUAAAAAGAUACAUUGGUAUAUCCCAUUAUUCCCCUUCCCCUGUGAAAAUAAACUAUACAGAUAUAAGCACUUUUAAAUCAAUACAACUGUGUCCGCCCUAGGGGGUAUUGUGCUACUUUACUUAUACUGGUGCCGUUAAAGCAGUACAACUUCUGUCUGUAGACAAGAACUGAAAGGUGACUGAGGACUGAUCUACACUACACAGUUAGGUUGAGCAUCUAAUGAUCACUUUGGAUAAAGGGCUCAUUCAGUAUCCCAGCACCUUCAGUUAAAGUGAGAUCUCACAAUACACCAAAGCUGUUCGGCGGCAAAGUCUGGAAAGACUAGACUUGAUUAUGUCCAAGGCCUUUUAGCAGAGACAGGCCAUCCCUAAUGAUAUUAUAGGAACAUCUUAGCCCUUUUGACAGUCGUUUUUUCUUCCUCUGUCUGCGGACAGCCUGAAAUCGUGGACCUAAGGAGUGAACCAGCAUAGUCUAAGUAAGUAUAUGGCUUUUGUUGCUGUAGUGUCUCUUAACACAUCUGCUGAAAUGGGAAAGAUUUUUAUUCACUUGACAGAGGAGGGAAACUUGAAGUGUGAUAGACUUCUCUGUGACCUGUGUCACUUACUCUGUGGCUGAACCAGGAAUUGAACCCAGGUCUUCUGACUUUCUCCAAUGCUAUAGCCACUAAACUGUGCCCGCUACAUCCUUUAUAGUGACAAAUUCAUCUUAAUGGAUAUUAACCCAAAUAUGAAGCCAACAAUUUAAAUGUCAGUAUUAACUUUCACUGAGCUUUUGCAGAAACAUUCCACAGUCAAACUGCUGCUCUCCUGGGUUCCCAGCUGCCAGAUUCUCCAGCUUCCCUACCCUGAAAACCUUGAUGUACGUACGUUAAGUCUGGCAUACUGAAGAUGUUGUAACACUUAAAUUUAGUACGAGAAGAGAAGCAGUACUGUUGAUUGUAUUUUUUUUUUUUUAAGAACUCCCUGAAGUUCCCACAAUACUUCCAGUGUGCUGCAGAAGACUGCCCCAGAAUCCAGGGACUUAGAUCCAGCUUGCUGCAGCAUACACCAUGGGUGCCUUAGUUUACUUAAUGCAAAAUUCACGUACUUGCAGUGGGUCUCCUUGUUGUGACAAAAAGAAUCUGCUACACUUUGGUGCUGCUAGAAAUAAAGUUCAAAUUGCGAAUGCUUACACUAGGCAGAGCGUCAGGAAACUACUAUUGCCAGAGUAUCUGAGAAGGCAGUAAAAUCCUGAAGUGAAAUAAGUGUGUAUCAGGAAAACGCCGAACAUUUGGAACUAUUUAUUAGAACCAAAAAUUUGUCUGUCUUUACUGACUUUAAUGGGAACAGUAUUAGACUAUGGCUUGAGUGCCUUUGCAAUUUUUGCAAUGCAGUAUAAAUACCUCGAUAGUGCUAUACAGCAACAUGAAUGGAGGCUGCCAGCAACUUCCUGAGAUGAAAGACUCAUCACAACCAAAUUUCCAGAGGUAUCUUUACAAAACUCUUCCAUACUUGAAACUAAUAACCAGUGACAGUGAGCCUAGUUUAGUUCCAUCUCUCAUCACACCUGAAGUCCAGUUCAGGUACUGGCAUACAAAAACUUCCACAGCUCCAGUCUCUUGUAUUGUCAAUAGCUGUAUUAGUUAUUACAGUAGUAACUGUAUGAGACAGUUUGCACACUACCAGUGGAACAAAGCCCCUUAAUUGUGUGUUCUGCCCAAAUGCUGAAGAGAGACAGCCUCUUACACGGUGAUGUACCAAAUCCUUAACUGGACAAAGAAUGAACACUAACACACAUGAUAGUAAUGGUAUUUAAUAAACAUUUGUUUACAUUUUUUAAAAAGUUGCUGGUGUAAUUCAUAAUGUACACUGAAUUGGAAUGGCAACAAAUUCCCAUCUCUCUCUGAAGAAAUAUCAGAUUUAGUUCCCAGUUGAAUUUAGUCUAGGAGGGUUCUUUUGUAAUACUUGACCAAGGGAGCUUUCAAUUCUUUGCAACCACUUUAAACAACAACAUUACAUGAUUUUCUAAUUCACUUGACAUGCUAAACAUUUCUUAAAAGGCACAUAAUUUUUUGCAGGUUUCUGAAGUUUCUCCUCUACAUUUUGAGGACUAGUUGCUUUCCUUUUACAGUGUUUGGGAAGAGAGAGUUCCAAAAUUCUUCUAAAUUGUCAGGACAAGGUCUGCAGGUGAGAUUUAUCAUCAUGUUCUCAUCCUAUGUGAAUGCAUUAACAGUUUGAUAUGAAGAGACUAUCUAAUCAACAGAACAUUUAAAGCGAACUGCCUUUUAAUCUUCCAAAUGCUGCCCUUAAUAUCAAUCAGUGAUCUAGCUUUUUUAAAGCAAUAACUGUCUUAAUAUAUUUGAGUUAGAUGGUCACAGAAAUACACAACUAAUAUGUAAAUAAAUAAUGUUGCUUCCAGCAUCAUAUGUGACCUUUGGUUAAAACAAGUGCUAACAGUCCUUGGAGUUUCAAAAAGACAAAUAUUCAAACCACAGUUGUAUUUCAAAUUUUUCUUAAGUUAAAAGUUAUGAAUAUUCUAGUUGGUAAAUAAGGAUUGUAAUAUUCAAACUAUACUGAAUUUGAUUUCUGAUUAAUAUAGUUAAGGUUUCAGAAUUAUAAAGUUUUUUUUAUAGGAAGUAGACCAAAUUUACUAUUGUAUUGAAGAGACACUAAUAAAUAUAAAGUGAGUCAUUUACUAAUGAAAAGACUGACAGUAGCAGCUAAAUGUACCUGCCAAAUCCAGGGUAAUUUUUGUUGUACUUAUUACUGCUCUUCCCUUCUUUCACUGCAGUUUCUAUGGGCCAAGUUCUGUCACCUAUAUCUCCUGAGCAUGAUGGAAAGCCAAAAAGAUGGGACCAGUUGUAGAUAGACUUCUGUAUCCUUGAUUAUCCACACAUGGAUUGCCAUGAUGUGUGAGAUAGGGAUGAAUGCAUUUCAUCAUAGGCGCUUUUCUGGAGAUGGACCAGCUGCCUGAACAACAUGCUUCACUGUGGUACAUGUAGAAGUAAAACUGCCAGGGACUUCUGUGGAAGCAGAGUUAAGCCUGCUCUUUGGGAGAUAGCUACAAUCAAGGCCAGCUUUAUGAAUGGCGAGGCUCAAUUCCUGGUCUUCUGCAGAACCCCCCACCGGCUUCCCUGGUGCUUCAGCAGUCGGCAAUGAAGAAUGGAAGAUAAACAACUUUCCAGCACAUUCUGCUGCCUGUCACAAAGACACCAUAACAACCUUUUAUUCUGCUGCUAGUAUAAACAAAUGAACCUAAUUUUCAAGCAUUUGUGUAAACAAAAGUGUAAACUUUUCCUAAAUCCUCGUAAGCUAAAUUGUCCAUUUGUUUCAAGACUGAACUCUUCAUGGCACCGAAUCCCAAAAGAAAGUCACUGGGAAUUCAAUAUCCAUAAAUAGCUUAAUCUAACAUAGAUAUGUCUGUCAUAUGUGGUAUUACAGUAAUUUCUACAUAGGAAUCUAGUCUUGAUGGACAAAAUUAACAAUAGAUAUACCAGACUGCUGUCAAUUUAAAUUUUUUUAAUGCCCAUGCAAUAUAAAUGUUAAAUAACGAUGCAAUAAAAGAUAAACAGACAGUGA